rnacentral:misc_RNA from 1 species
UGUGGGAGCUGGCUUGCCUGCGAUGCAGGCGACUCGGUCUGCCUGGUACACCGAGGUGAUGCCAUCGCAGGCAAGCCAGCUCCCACA